CAUUAAAUAGCUUAAAGUAAGCAAUGGAAUUUUAAACCAUUUAUAGUAAUUAACAUCCACUUUUAGUGA
rnacentral:tRNA from 1 species